rnacentral:lncRNA from 1 species
UAGGACAGACAAAGCUGAAGUGAAGAGCGAGCUUAGGCAGACCUUGUUGUUGGUGCAGAGGAGCUCGUCGCCGCGGUCGUUCCUCCAGGAGACGACCUGCACGGCGUGCAGGCUCACCUGCAACCAAUGCCAAGAAAAACCCCAUCAGAAAUUCAGAAUCACGCCGAUCCCGGCCGGCAAGUCUGAGACUGGAGAUUGGGGAGGAGCAAUGACCGACCCGCGCGGUGGCCCCGGUGGGCGAGCGAGCAGGACGGCCCCGUUCCCCUCCUCCGGAUCCGUGGAUCCCGCGUAGCCGCCCUUAUCCCGCCCCUCCCCGCUCCUCCGGGCGGUGGAACUGGCCGAAGGGGAUGCGGGCGGACACGCCAGCCCCAACUACCCAUGGCCGGUAACGCGCCCGCCUGCCUCGCCGGAGAUGGCCGCGUCGGGGGGCGGGGUCUGACGGCGGCGCUGCGGGAAACCCUAGCUUCUUUGCGGGAGCGAGAGGUGGGGAAUGUAUUGAGUGCGCUGCAUUAUUUUCUUUCGCGUGUGAUGAUGGUUCG